rnacentral:rRNA from 1 species
GAUGAACGCUGGCGGCGUGCUUAACACAUGCAAGUCGAACGAGGUUAUUACAGCGGAAGUUUUCGGAUGGAAGCAGUAUUAACCGAGUGGCGGACGGGUGAGUAACGCGUGGGGAACCUGCCCCAUUCCGGGGGAUACCAGUUGGAAACGACUGUUAAUACCGCAUAAGCACACAGUACCGCAUGGUACGGUGUGAAAAACUCCGGUGGAAUGGGAUGGCCCCGCGUCUGAUUAGCUAGUUGGCAGGGUAACGGCCUACCAAGGCAACGAUCAGUAGCCGACUUGAGAGAGUGAUCGGCCACAUUGGGACUGAGACACGGCCCAAACUCC